CCUCCCCUUGAGUGGUUCUGUGAUUUGUUUCUAAGCCUUAGAAUAUGGCACAGAUGAUGGGAUAUUAAUUUUGGGAUAAUGUUACAUGAGGCUGUAACUUUCCUCUUGCUCAUUUUGCUUGCAAACUCUAUUGACUCUCCCUGAGCAGGCUCUGAGGAAGUAAACCUCUUUAUGGAGAAGCCCAUGUGACAAGGAACUGAAGGUGGCCUCCAGCCAACAGCCCUCGGUAAGGAAGUGAAUCCUGCCCAUGACACAUGAGCUUGAAGGUGGAUUCUUUCACAGUCGAGUCUCAGAAGAUACUCCAGCCCUGCCAACACCUUCACUGUGGCACCAGAGACCCUGAGCCAGAGGACCCAGAUAAGUCAUGCCCAGAUUCCUGCUCAACAGUAAUGGUGAACUGGAGAUGUAACGACUUCCUUUUUUGUCUUGGAAGAUUCCUAAAUGUCAUUGAGAGACCCAAGACGUCUCAAUCUCACUUAAUGCAAACGGAAAACCAAGGGUUUUUAAAGGUGAAAUGGAUCUUGCUAAUGAAGAAGUAUCACUCUUCGUGGGGCAUGCAGCUUGUUAGUUCAAGUUAGAAUUCUGGGCAGUAGGCGUGUGCCAAGCUGCAAGACUUUUUCUCCUCCUAAAUGAAUCGUGCAGUAAAUUGGGCAUUUGGAUCUUUCCCUUGUGAAGCUAUCUCACAAGUAAUACAUUCAUGGUAAGAAGGACUUUGAAGUCAGGCAGACAUAUGUGGAUCCCAGCCCGACCACUGAACUCUGAUCUCUGGCAAGCGACUUCAGCUUUCUGGGUAUCUGUUUCUUCAUCUCUAAAAUGGGAAGGUAAUACAAAUGCAUACGUGCUAUUGUGUGAAUUAUAUGACAAUGCAUUUAAAGUGUCUAAAAUGGAAUAUGCACUCAAUAAAUGUUAAUCCACCCUCUGAUCCUCUUUUUAUCUUUGUUGACCUCUAAUCCCACCUCUUCAUUUAGGUAAUGAAGAAAAAUCCCUGCUUAGAUAUUAGAAGAUACAGCAGCAUAAUUACUUUUGUUUUAUUAAUGCAGUGCUU
rnacentral:lncRNA from 1 species